CGCAAUGCAGCAAAGCAGAAGCAGACAACUAGGCACAAAGCAACAGAGUUUUAAAGUUUUCUUCUCCGGCUACUACUUAGCAUGUCUUACUUGAGGAGUAUUUACCUUUGUUUAGCCAGGAGCAGAGAUGCAUCCUGAAUGUACACGAUGGCUUCUAACUUGGCAGCGUGAAUUUUCAGCUGAGCAGGUACUGCUCGGAGACUUGUAACCAAACCGCCUCUGUUGGAGCACGGCUGGUUUCCCACCAUGUGUGUGAAUAGUUUGGGGGCUUCUUAUGCCACACUGCUCUACCUGCAGGAAUAAAGGCUAGGACAAAGGAGAGGAUGCUUGCCAUGGUUUGUCUGGCUGGGGCCUGUGCGAGCGACUCACCGCACUGAUGCUGUGUGACUCCCCAGCUCACAUUUAAGGCUGGUCACGGGGCUGGCGCAGAUCCCCACUCCUCAGUUAGAGCACGGUUUAAAGGAGAAACCAGACUCCCUGACCUAAAUCACUCCCAGUCCUCUCUGGAUGCGGGACAGCUGUCGACUAGCAGUGACACAACCAGCCAUCAAGUGGAGAAUCGUUGCGACUGCAGUCUGUGUGCAGGUGGAGCCCGGGAGAAUGACAGUCUAAUUUCGGUCAUCCAAUGGCUUUUUCUUAUUUUUCUAAAUAAUCGUGCUCGCUAAGUAUACAGUUGUCUGGAUUAGCCUGCCUGCCAUGCAGUCCUCAUCAACUCUGGCUGGAAAUCAGGGUGCCAGGCAAGCCGCCUUUAGCUCUGGCUCCUUUCUGCGUGAUGCUAUGCAGCUAGGAUGGGUCAUGCUGACAACAAAGAAGGAAGCAGAAAGCAUCACUUUCUCUUCUCUUGUGAUGUUAGCGGAACAUAACUCUUCUUCGCAGUGAUGCCCUUGUGUGUGUGUGUGUGUGUGUGUGUUUUAAUUCAUCUAAUCGAAGAGCCUAACAAAUAUCAUCAUGGAUGUGAUUUUUAAUGAUUUGGAAAAAACAAAAAAAGACAGCCUGUGGAAACAGCGAUUCGAAACAGCGGCACAUUUAGGUUAUUGCCAAUUUGAAAUACUUGGUUUGUGAAGCUGAGCCCUAAGGGACAAGCUCGGUAACUGAGGAAGAGAUCGUAGAUAAAGAAAUAAAAAUGACAAGCGUAAUGGAGGCUCUGCGAAAGGACUGUCAGAGCAUCAGUUCAUGGAUGGCAAUUUCACCAGGCUGAGAUUGAAUAAUUCAUAGAUUGAAAUUACCCUGCUUUCACCUUUCCAUUUAAACCGGCAUGAUCUGAAUCUCUAAUAAAUUUUCAAGAUAAAGUAAAAUGCCAAUUUGAAUCUGAAGAGCUUUUAAAACCAGAUGCUGCAUCCCUGAAUCUUUCGGUAUCUUUCACAAUUAUCCUAUGAGAACAGCACUUCAUCACGAAGCACCAUUACCAGGGAAAAUUACUGUGAUUACAAUAGCAACAAUAGAACACGAUCAAAUGAUCUCUAAUUUACCUAAUUUGCUAAGACUGACUGUGUGGUUUUGAUAUCCAUUGUAUGUCACCAUGCCCGGCACCCGUGAAGCUAUCUCGCGCUGGAACAAAAGUGGCAUCGUGUGUGUGUGUGUGUGUGUGUGCACGCACACCCUGCUACCUUAACUGUGAAUGCCUAGCAAAGAAUAUUCUCGUUAGAAAUCCUCUCAGGGAAGUUUAGUCCUGGUGUGAUGCGUCAAAAACCUCUCAGAUUGCAAAGAAGCUCAGGAGAUACAAUCAGUAAUAACUCUGUACAGCUUUUAUUAAAAGCAUGCAUGUUCAAUUCAGUGAUUAAAUGAAGCUUCGGUACAA